rnacentral:rRNA from 1 species
AUUGAACGCUGGCGGUAUGCCUAACACAUGCAAGUCGAACGGCAGCACAGUAAGAGCUUGCUCUUACGGGUGGCGAGUGGCGGACGGGUGAGGAAUACAUCGGAACCUACUUUUUCGUGGGUGAUAACGUAGGGAAACUUACGCUACUACCGCAUACGACCUACGGGUGAAAGCAGGGGAUCUUCCGACCUUGCGCGCUGGUAUGAGCCGAUGUCGGAUUAGCUAGUUGGCGGGGUAAAGGCCCACCAAGGCGACGAUCCGUAGCUGGUCUGAGAGGAUGAUCAGCCACACUGGAACUGAGACACGGUCCAGACUCCUACGGGAGGCAGCAGUGGGGAAUAUUGGACAAUGGGCGCAAGCCUGAUCCAGCCAUGCCGCGUGGGUGAAGAAGGCCUUCGGGUUGUAAAGCCCUUUUGUUGGGAAAGAAAAGCAGCAGGUUAAUACCCCGCUGUUCUGACGGUACCCAAAGAAUAAGCACCGGCUAACUUCGUG